ACGAACGCUGGCGGCAGGCCUAACACAUGCAAGUCGAACGGUAGCAGGAAGAAGCUUGCUUCUUUGCUGACGAGUGGCGGACGGGUGAGUAAUGUCUGGGGAUCUGCCCGGUAGAGGGGGAUAACCACUGGAAACGGUGGCUAAUACCGCAUAAUCUCGCAAGAGCAAAGUGGGGGACCUUCGGGCCUCACACUACCGGAUGAACCCAGAUGGGAUUAGCUAGUUGGUGGGGUAAGGGCUCACCAAGGCGACGAUCCCUAGCUGGUCUGAGAGGAUGACCAGCCACAUCGGAA
rnacentral:rRNA from 1 species